rnacentral:rRNA from 1 species
UACGGGGGGGAGCAAGCGUUUGUUCGGAUUUACUGGGCGUAAAGGGCGCGUAGGCGGUCGUGACAAGUCACUUGUGAAAUCUCCGGGCUUAACUCGGAACGGUCAAGUGAUACUGUCGGACUAGAGUACAGAAGGGGCAACUGGAAUUCUCGGUGUAGCGGUGAAAUGCGUAGAGAUCGUAAGGAAGGCCAGUGGCGAAGGCGAGUCUCUGGACAGUAACUGACGCUGAGGCACGAAGGCCAGGGGAGCAAACGGG